rnacentral:rRNA from 2 species
CGGAAGACCAAGGGUUCCUGUCCAACGUUAAUCGGGGCAGGGUGAGUCGACCCCUAAGGCGAGGCCGAAAGGCGUAGUCGAUGGGAAACGGGUUAAUAUUCCCGUACUUGGUGUUACUGCGAAGGGGGGACGGAGAAGGCUAUGUUGGCCGGGCGACGGUUGUCCCGGUUUAAGCGUGUAGGUGUGUGUUCCAGGUAAAUCCGGUUCACUUUAACACUGAGGCGUGAUGACGAGGCACUACGGUGCUGAAGCAACAAAUGCCCUGCUUCCAGGAAAAGCCUCUAAGCAUCAGGUAACAUCAAAUCGUACCCCAAACCGACACAGGUGGUCAGGUAGAGAAUACCAAGGCGCUUGAGAGAACUCGGGUGAAGGAACUAGGCAAAAUGGUGCCGUAACUUCGGGAGAAGGCACGCUGACACGUAGGUGAAGUGAUUUACUCA